rnacentral:tRNA from 1 species
GGGCCCGUAGCUCAGAAUGGAAGAGCGCCCGGCUUUUAACCGGGGGGUCGCGGGUUCAAAUCCCGCCGGGCCCG